rnacentral:rRNA from 1 species
AAAUUGAAGAGUUUGAUCAUGGCUCAGAUUGAACGCUGGCGGCAGGCCUAACACAUGCAAGUCGAACGGUAACAGGAAGCAGCUUGCUGCUUUGCUGACGAGUGGCGGACGGGUGAGUAAUGUCUGGGAAACUGCCUGAUGGAGGGGGAUAACUACUGGAAACGGUGGCUAAUACCGCAUAACGUUGCAAGACCAAAGAGGGGGACCUUCGGGCCUCUUGCCAUCAGAUGUGCCCAGAUGGGAUUAGCUAGUUGGUGAG